GAUGAACGCUGGCGGCGUGCCUAAUACAUGCAAGUCGAGCGAACGGACGAGAAGCUUGCUUUUCUGAUGUUAGCGGCGGACGGGUGAGUAACACGUGGAUAACCUACCUAUAAGACUGGGAUAACUUCGGGAAACCGGAGCUAAUACCGGAUAAUAUUUUGAACCGCAUGGUUCAUAAGUGAAAGACGGUCUUGCUGUCACUUAUAGAUGGAUCCGCGCUGCAUUAGCUAGUUGGUAGGUAACGGCUUACCAAGGCAACGAUGCAUAGCCGACCUGAGAGGGUGAUCGGCCACACUGGAACUGAGACACGGUCCAGACUCCUACGGGAGGCAGCAGUAGGGAAUCUUCCGCAAUGGGCGAAAGCCUGACGGAGCAACGCCGCGUGAGUGAUGAAGGUCUUCGGAUCGUAAAACUCUGUUAUUAGGGAAGAACAUAUGUGUAAGUAACUGUGCACAUCUUGACGGUACCUAAUCAGAAAGCCACGGCUAACUACGUG
rnacentral:rRNA from 1 species